rnacentral:rRNA from 1 species
ACGCGAAAGGCCCCUUCGGGGGCCGAGUAGAGUGGCGUCCGGGUGAGUAACACGUAGGUAAUCUGCCUCUGGGUGGGGAAUAACGACCGGAAACGGUCGCUAAUACCGCAUAAUGCAGCGGCACCACAUGGUGACAGUUGUUAAAGCGGGGGAUCGCAAGACCUCGCGCCUAGAGAGGAGCCUGCGGCGGAUUAGCUAGUUGGCAGGGUAAUGGCCUACCAAGGCGACGAUCCGUAGCCGGCCUGAGAGGGCGGUCGGCCACACUGGCACUGACACACGGGCCAGACUCCUACGGGAGGCAGCAGUCGGGAAUUUUGGGCAAUGGGCGAAAGCCUGACCCAGCAACGCCGCGUGAAGGAUGAAGCUUUUCGGAGUGUAAACUUCAUAAGAAUGGGACGAAUAAGGAAGGGCUAAUACCCCUUUUGAUGACGGUACCAUUUGUAAGCUCCGGCUAACUCCGUGCCAGCAGCCGCGGUAAUACGGGGGGAGCAAGCGUUG